rnacentral:rRNA from 1 species
GCCGCGUCUGCUGUGAAAGCCCGGGGCUUAACUCCGGGUGUGCAGUGGGUACGGGCAGGCUAGAGUGCAGUAGGGGAGACUGGAAUUCCUGGUGUAGCGGUGAAAUGCGCAGAUAUCAGGAGGAACACCGAUGGCGAAGGCAGGUCUCUGGGCUGUUACUGACGCUGAGAAGCGAAAGCAUGGGUAGCGAACAGGAUUAGAUACCCUGGUAGUCCAUGCCGUAAACGUUGGGCACUAGGUGUGGGGGACAUUCCACGUUUUCCGCGCCGUAGCUAACGCAUUAAGUGCCCCGCCUGGGGAGUACGGCCGCAAGGCUAAAACUCAAAGGAAUUGACGGGGGCCCGCACAAGCGGCGGAGCAUGCGGAUUAAUUCGAUGCAACGCGAAGAACCUUACCAAGGCUUGACAUACACCGGACCGCGCUGGAGACAGCGUUUCCCUUCGGGGCUGGUGUACAGGUGGUGCAUGGUUGUCGUCAGCUCGUGUCGUGAGAUGUUGGGUUAAGUCCCGCAACGAGCGCAACCCUUAUCCUAUGUUGCCAGCACGUGAUGGUGGGGACUCAUGGGAGACUGCCGGGGUCAACUCGGAGGAAGGUGGGGAUGACGUCAAAUCAUCAUGCCCCUUAUGUCUUGGGCUUCACGCAUGCUACAAUGGCCGGUACAGUGGGUUGCGAUGCCGUGAGGUGGAGCUAAUCCCUAAAAGCCGGUCUCAGUUCGGAUCGAAGUCUGCAACUCGACUUCGUGAAGUUGGAGUCGCUAGUAAUCGC